rnacentral:tRNA from 1 species
CGGAGCGUAGCUCAAUCGGUAGAGCGCCUGCUUUGGGAGCAGGAGGUUCCGGGUUCAAGUCCCGGCGCUCCGA